ensembl:snoRNA
AGCCUCCCGGUGCUUACCACUGGCUGUGUUCUUACACCUACACCUAGAGGAGGCAGAGUAAACCUACCCGUAUACACCCCAGCCCAGGCCCUCUCUGGAGUCCUUGUUAGUAUCCUUGGGAACAGGUGAAAAGU